GACGAACGCUGGCGGCGUGCCUAAUACAUGCAAGUAGAACGCACAGUUUAUACCGUAGCUUGCUACACCAUAGACUGUGAGUUGCGAACGGGUGAGUAACGCGUAGGUAACCUGCCUGGUAGCGGGGGAUAACUAUUGGAAACGAUAGCUAAUACCGCAUAAUAUUAAUUAUUGCAUGAUAAUUAAUUGAAAGGUGCAAUUGCACCACUACCAGAUGGACCUGCGUUGUAUUAGCUAGUAGGUGAGGUAACGGCUCACCUAGGCGACGAUACAUAGCCGACCUGCGAGGGUGAUCGGCCACACUGGGACUGAGACACGGCCCAGACUCCUACGGGAGGCAGCAGUAGGGAAUCUUCGGCAAUGGACGAAAGUCUGACCGAGCAACGCCGCGUGAGUGAAGAAGGUUUUCGGAUCGUAAAGCUCUGUUGUAAGAGAAGAACGGGUGUGAGAGUGGAAAGUUCGCACUGUGACGGUAUCUUACCAGAAAGGGACGGCUAACUACGUG
rnacentral:rRNA from 1 species